UACAGAGGGUGCAAGCGUUGUUCGGAAUUAUUGGGCGUAAAGCGCGUGUAGGCGGCUUUGCAAGUCGGGUGUGAAAGCCCUCAGCUCAACUGAGGAAGUGCGCCCGAAACUGCAUGGCUUGAAUACCGGAGAGGAUGGCGGAAUUCCCCAAGUAGAGGUGAAAUUCGUAGAUAUGGGGAGGAACACCGGUGGCGAAGGCGGCCAUCUGGACGGCGACUGACGCUGAGACGCGAAAGCGUGGGGAGCAAACAGG
rnacentral:rRNA from 1 species